AGGAAAUAUCUGAAGAGGUGGCAUCACACAGUGGUACGGCGCCGGUGCCAGCAUGAUAGGAAACCGCUCCAUCUGGCAAGGGGGUGGCAUCAGUGGAGGGAAUCCAGCAAGGUGGUGAGACUGGCUCAGGUGCUGGACCAGCAGCGGCUGAUAGAAAAGGCCUGGAGGGUGUGGAGACAAAGAUACUUGCAAAGCUGUGUGGUGCAGAAUCUUUUGGAGGAGGAAGCCAGGAGCCUCUUGUCUCAGGCCUUUAGAAGGUGGUGGCAGCUCACAGCAUUCCAGUGUAAGGACAAAGGAUCCUGCUGAAUGGAGGGGCCUGCCUGCAGCUGCUGCUCAAUUCAGGACACGUGGAGGAUACAGCUCCUGUCACAACAAAGAGGUGGUCCUGUGCUGUCAAGAAAGAACACUUUGCUCUUACAAUAAAAGCAGUGCUGCCAGUCAGAAGGAUGACAGCCAAAGAACAACCAGGAAGAGAUUGUACCUAGUGAAAGGCCCUCUUUAAAGGACUUGUAUCUUACCUCCUUAGCAACACAAACAGAGAAUUUACAGUUGUGAG